rnacentral:tRNA from 1 species
GGGGAUGUGGCUCAGUGGUACAGCGCUCGCCUAGCACAUGUGAGGCCCUGGGUUAGAUCCUCAGCACCACA